UGCCAGCAGCCGCGGUAAUACGGAGGAUGCAGGCGUUAUCCGGAUUUAUUAGGUUUAAAGGGUGUCUAGGCUGCCACAUAAGUCAGAGGUGAAAGUCGGUUGCUCAACAAUCGAAUUGCCUUUGAAACUGUGUGGCUCGAAUAUAGAUGAGGUAGGCGGAAUGUGUAGUGUAGCGGUGAAAUGCAUAGAUAUUACACGGAACACCAAUUGCGAAGGCAGCUCACUACGCCAUUAUUGACGCUGAGUCACGAAAGCGUGGGUAGCGAACAGGAUUAGAUA
rnacentral:rRNA from 1 species